CAACUGAUAAUUUUAUAAUGAAGACUGCAAGCAAUUUAGUCUUCUCCUUGAGGAGGGGAGUGGUAUUCACAAUGAAGAAGAAAGUAAGGGACAACAUCUGUAAUUCCCGGAUUGCACAGACAGAAUGUGGACACUAGCUUCUUCUCAGUACAAACAAACUUUUGAAGUUUCAUGCAUAAAUUAUCUUCCCAGAAAGUGAGAGUCAGAUCUUAAAAUUACCAACUCACAGAAAAUUCUCUGAUCCAAAGGAAAGUCCUUCAUUCAGAGUCACCAGAAAUCUGAAGGCAAAACCUGAAGUUUUCUGUCUACUGCAUGACUUCUCAAGAUGAUUUGUAUGAUGACAAGCUGGCAUCCAGUAAGAAGUGUUUGCUGACAAAAAGGAUUAUUGACCCAGUCAGAGACAGUGAUAAGAGGAUGCCACAUCCAUUCAGUUCAUUAUCUU